GACAGAGGUGCCGAGCGUUAGGCGGAAUCACUGGGCUUAAAGCGUGUGUAGGCGGACUUCUAAGUGCCUUGUGAAAUCCCACGGCUCAACCGUGGAACUGCUUGGUAUACUGGUCGUCUUGAGCCAUCUAGGGGCUGUCGGAACAAAUGGUGGAGCGGUGAAAUGCGUAGAUAUCAUUUGGAACGCCAAAGGUGAAAACAGACAGCUGGGGAUGUGCUGACGCUGAGACACGAAAGCCAGGGGAGCGAACGGG
rnacentral:rRNA from 1 species